GCGCCCGUAGCUCAGUCGGAUAGAGCACCAGCCUUCUAAGCUGGGGGUCACAGGUUCGAUUCCUGUCGGGCGCGCCA
rnacentral:tRNA from 1 species